CGUAGGUGGCAAGCGUUGUCCGGAUUUAUUGGGUUUAAAGGGUGCGUAGGCGGCCCUGUAAGUCAGUGCUGAAAUAUCCCGGCUUAACCGGGAGGGUGGCAUUGAUACUGCAGGGCUUGUGUAAAGUUGAGGUUGGCGGAAUUGACGGUGUAGCGGUGAAAUGCUUAGAUAUCGUCAAGAACACCGAUAGUGAAGACAGCUAACUAAGCUUUAACUGACGCUGAGGCACGAAAGUGUGGGGAUCAAACAGGAUUAGAUACCCUGGUAGUCCACACUGUAAACGUUGAUUACUCGAUGUUGGCGAUACACAGUCAGCGUCUUAGCGCAAGCGAUAAGUAAUCCACCUGGGGAGUACGCCGGCAACGGUG
rnacentral:rRNA from 1 species